rnacentral:rRNA from 1 species
GACGAACGCUGGCGGCGUGCUUAACACAUGCCAGUCGUACGGUAAGGCCCUUUCGGGGGUACACGAGUGGCGAACGGGUGAGUAACACGUGCGUAACCUGCACACAACUUUGGGAUAACGCUAGGAAACUGAUGCUAAUACUGGAUAUGUGCUACUUCUUCAUGGGGGGGGUUGGAAAGCUCCGGCGGUUAUGGAUGGGAUCGCGGCCUAUCUGCUUGUUGGGGGGGUGGUGGCCUACCAAGGCGGCGACGGGAGGCAGCACUGAGAGGGUGACCGGCCACAUUGAGUCUGAGAGACGGCACAGGUACCUACGGGAGGGAGCUGUGGGGAAUACUGCACAAUGGGCGCCAGCCUGAUGCAGCAGCUCCGCGUACGGGAUGACGGCGUUAGGGUUGUAAACCGCUUUUAGCAGGGACGAAGCUUUUUGUGACGGUACCUACAGAAGAAGCACCGGCUAACUACGUG